rnacentral:miRNA from 1 species
UUUAGAGUUUAAGGUUUAGAGUUU